rnacentral:tRNA from 1 species
UGAGCCAUUAGCUCAGCUGGUAGAGCACCUGACUUUUAAUCAGGGUGUCGCUGGUUCGAAUCCAGCAUGGCUCAUC